UACGUAGGGUGCAAGCGUUGUCCGGAAUUAUUGGGCGUAAAGGGCUCGUAGGCGGUCUGUCAAGUCGGGAGUGAAAACUCAGGGCUUAACCCUGAGCCUGCUUCCGAUACGGGCAGACUAGAGGUAUGCAGGGGAGAACGGAAUUCCUGGUGUAGCGGUGAAAUGCGCAGAUAUCAGGAGGAACACCGGUGGCGAAGGCGGUUCUCUGGGCAGUACCUGACGCUGAGGAGCGAAAGUGUGGGGAGCGAACAGG
rnacentral:rRNA from 1 species